GGGCCGGUAGAUCAGUGGCAGAUCGCCGCCUUCGCAAGGCGGAGGCCUCGGGUUCAAAUCCCGACCGGUCCA
rnacentral:tRNA from 1 species